rnacentral:rRNA from 1 species
UUUUAUUUGAGAGUUUGAUCCUGGCUCAGGAUGAACGCUGGCGGCGUGCCUAACACAUGCAAGUUGAGCGAUUUACUUCGGUAAAGAGCGGCGGACGGGUGAGUAACGCGUGGGUAACCUACCCUGUACACACGGAUAACAUACCGAAAGGUAUGCUAAUACGGGAUAAUAUAUUUGAGAGGCAUCUCUUAAAUAUCAAAGGUGAGCCAGUACAGGAUGGACCCGCGUCUGAUUAGCUAGUUGGUAAGGUAACGGCUUACCAAGGCGACGAUCAGUAGCCGACCUGAGAGGGUGAUCGGCCACAUUGGAACUGAGACACGGUCCAAACUCCUACGGGAGGCAGCAGUGGGGAAUA